GUUUAUGUAGCUCAGUGGUAGAGCACUACACUUUUAAUGUAGGGUAUGGACU
rnacentral:tRNA from 1 species